rnacentral:rRNA from 1 species
CCCUUAGAUGUUCUGGGCCGCACGCGCGCUACACUGAUGCAUUCAACGAGCCUAUCCUUGACCGACAGGUCCGGGUAAUCUUUGAAUCUGCAUCGUGACGGGGAUAGAUUAUUGCAAUUAUUAAUCUUCAACGAGGAAUGCCUAGUAAGCGCAAGUCAUCAGCUUGCGUUGAUUACGUCCCUGCCCUUUGUACACACCGCCCGUCGCUCCUACCGAUUGAAUGCUCAGGUGAGCCAUUCGGACUUUCAUCAUGCUGGUUUCCAGUUUUGAUGAAGGAAAGUCUUGCGAACCUUAUCAUUUAGAGGAAGGAGAAGUCGUAACA